UCAAGCAAAAAAGAGCGCAGGGUGGAUGCCUUGGCACUAAGAGCCGAAGAAAGACGUGAUAAGCUGCGAAAAGCUGCGGGGAGGAGCAAAUAUCCACUGAUCCGCAGAUGUCUGAAUGGGGAAACCCGCAUGAGCAACCCUCAUGCAUCCAUACGCCAAUCCAUAACGUAUGGAGGGGAACCGCCUGAACUGAAACAUCUAAGUAGGGCGAGGAAGAGAAAGAAAAUUUAUCGAUUUCCAAAGUAGCGGCGAGCGAAAUGGAAAGAGCCCAAACCGUGAUGCGUGCAUCGCGGGGUUCGGACUGCGUUGUGGCAGACGUAAGAUAGGAGAACGGACUGGGAAGUCCGGCCGGAGAGAGUGAAAGCCUCGUAUCCGAAAUCCCAAGUCGCCUAGCAGGAUCCAGAGUAGGACGAGACACGAGAAACCUUGUCUGAACGAGCGGGGACCACCCCGUAAGGCUAAAUACUUCUUAGUGACCGAUAGCGCAUAGUACUGUGAAGGAAAGGUGAAAAGUACCCCGGGAGGGGAGUGAAAGAGAACCUGAAACCCUGUGUCUACAAGCUGUGGGACCUCUUUAUAUGAGGGACUGCGUACUUUUUGUAGAACGGUCCGGCGAGUUGUGCGUACUGGCGAGGUUAAGGACUUAAGGUCUGGAGCCGAAGUGAAAGCAAGCGUUAAUAGCGCGUCAAGUCAGUGAGUGCAGACCCGAAACCGGGUGACCUAUCCAUGUCCAGGUUGAAGCUUCCGUAAGAGGAAGUGGAGGACCGAACCCACAUCCGUUGAAAAGGGUGGGGAUGAGGUGUGGAUAGCGGAGAAAUUCCAAUCGAACCCGGAGAUAGCUGGUUCUCCUCGAAAUAGCUUUAGGGCUAGCCUCGAUACAGAUUUGCGGAGGUAGAGCACUGAAUUUCCUAGGGGGCGUCAAAGCCUACCGAAGAAUAUCAAACUGCGAAUGGCGGACAGAUGAUGCCAGGGAGUCAGACUGCACGAGAUAAGUUGGGUGGUCAAAAGGGAAAGAGCCCAGACCUACAGCUAAGGUCCCAAAGUGUGUGUUAAGUGGAAAAGGAUGUGGGAUUUCGAAGACAACUAGGAUGUUGGCUCAGAAGCAGCCAUACAUUCAAAGAGUGCGUAACAGCUCACUGGUCGAGUGGACAUGCGCCGACAAUUCACGGGGCUAAGCGAUGCGCCGAAGCGGCGGAAUGUAUUUACAUUGGUAGGGGAGCUUCCCCUGCGCGGCGAAGCCGGAGGGCGACCGACGGUGGAGCGCAUGGGAGUGAGAAUGCUGGCAUGAGUAGCGAGAGACGAGAGAGUAACUCGUCCGCCGUGAACCCGAGGUUUCCUGGGCAAGGCUAAUCCUCCCAGGGUCAGUCGGGAGCUAAGGCGAGGCCGGAAGGCGUAGCCGAUGCGCAACAGGCGGACAUUCCUGUACCGCCUCGGGACCGCUAUGACCGAAGGGGCGACGGAGAAGGGUACGCAGGCGGGGUUCUGGACGCCCCCGUGAAAGCAUGUAGGCCGCAGGGCAGGCAAAUCCGCCCUGCAGAUAAGGCCGAGACGCGAGACGAAGCCGCAAGGCGAAGCUGCGGAGCCCACGCUCCCUGGAAAAACCCCUAGGCAGGGCCCGAGGCGCCCGUACCAAAACCGACACAGGUGGGCAGGUAGAGCAUACCGAGGCGAUCGGGGGAACCAUGGUCAAGGAACUCGGCACAAUGGCCCCGUAACUUCGGGAGAAGGGGUGCCCGCGCGUACGUGAACGGACUUGCUCCGGGAGCGGAGGCGGGCCGCAGUGGAGAGGCCCAAGCGACUGUUUACCAAAAACACAGGACUCUGCAGAAGCCGCAAGGCGACGUAUAGGGUCUGACGCCUGCCCGGUGCCGGAAGGUCACGCGGAGGGGUUAGCCGUUAAGGCGAGGCCCCGAAGCCAAGCCCCGGUAAACGGCGGCCGUAACUAUAACGGUCCUAAGGUAGCGAAAUUCCUUGUCGGGUAAGUUCCGACCCGCACGAAUGGUGUAACGAUCUGGGCACUGUCUCAACUACCCACCCGGCGAAAUUGUAGUACCGGUGAAGAUGCCGGUUACCUGCGGCAAGACGGAAAGACCCCAUGGAGCUUUACUGUAGCCUGAUAUUGGGUUUCGGAAAUCUAUGUACAGGAUAGGCGGGAGACUGGGAAACAUGAGCGUCAGCUUGUGUGGAGUCGAUGUUGGGAUACCGCCCUUAGGUUUCUGGAAUUCUAACCUGCGGCCGUGAAACCGGUCGGGGGACAUUGUCAGGUGGGCAGUUUGACUGGGGCGGUCGCCUCCGAAAAGGUAACGGAGGCGCUCAAAGGUUAGCUCAGCACGGACGGAAACCGUGCCUCUGAGUGUAAACGCAAAAGCUAGCCUAACUGCGAGGGUGACGGCCCGAGCAGUAACGAAAGUUGGAGUUAGUGAUCCGGCGGUAUGUGAAUGGAAAUGCCGUCGCUCAACGGAUAAAAGCUACCCUGGGGAUAACAGGCUGAUCUCCCCCAAGAGUCCACAUCGACGGGGAGGUUUGGCACCUCGAUGUCGGCUCAUCACAUCCUGGGGCUGUAUUCGGUCCCAAGGGUUCGGCUGUUCGCCGAUUAAAGUGGUACGCGAGCUGGGUUCAGAACGUCGCGAGACAGUUCGGUCCCUAUCUGUCGUGGGCGCAGGAUAUUUGAGGAGCUCUGUCCUUAGUACGAGAGGACCGGGAUGGACGUACCUCUGGUGCACCAGUUGUCAUGCCAAUGGCACGGCUGGGCAGCUAUGUACGGAACGGAUAAACGCUGAAAGCAUCUAAGCGUGAAGCCGACUCCAAGAUUAGAUAUCCCAUCGUAUAACGAGUAAGACCCCUUGAAGACUACGAGGUUGAUAGGCUGCGUGUGUAAGUGCCGUGAGGCAUUCAGCUUGGCAGUACUAAUAGGUCGAGGGCUUGACCAC
rnacentral:rRNA from 1 species